rnacentral:rRNA from 1 species
GACGAACGCUGGCGGCGUGCUUAACACAUGCAAGUCGAACGGAAAGGCCCUUUCGGGGGUACUCGAGUGGCGAACGGGUGAGUAACACGUGGGUGAUCUGCCCUGCACUUUGGGAUAAGCCUGGGAAACUGGGUCUAAUACCGGAUAUACCCUGCUGGUCGCAUGGCCUGGUGGGGGAAAGCUUUUGCGGUGUGGGAUGGGCCCGCGGCCUAUCAGCUUGUUGGUGGGGUGAUGGCCUACCAAGGCGACGACGGGUAGCCGGCCUGAGAGGGUGUCCGGCCACACUGGGACUGAGAUACGGCCCAGACUCCUACGGGAGGCAGCAGUGGGGAAUAUUGCACAAUGGGCGCAAGCCUGAUGCAGCGACGCCGCGUGAGGGAUGACGGCCUUCGGGUUGUAAACCUCUUUCAGUAUCGACGAAGCGUAAGUGACGGUAGGUACAGAAGAAGCACCGGCCAACUACGUGCCAGCAGCCGCAGUAACAC